GCCCGUCAAUCUAGCGGGAGAGAUGGGAUAACCUGUCCGACCGUCUAUCGCCGAUAGGACUCCACCGAAAAAUAUCACUAAAAAAACAAAAAAAAAUCCCCACAAAAAUUUACUUCAAGCCAUGGGCAGUUCGCGGAGCUCGGCCAGGGCUGGCGCUGUCGGUUUUGACCUUUAGGAGAGAGCCAGUUGUGGAGAACAACCUAACUUCUUUGAUUGAGCACUCACAUAAUGCACUGGAACAUGUUAGGAGAUUAAGGUUUAUAACGAUAAAAUGAAGACCAUAAUAAAACAGCCUCGUACUUAGUUCAUCAUUUCUUACCUUUCUUACCUACUUAAUGAAGAUGUCUUACGAAAAGUAUACUUCAAGGAAUGAAAUGCUGUUUAUAAUUUAUGCUGUUACCAAGGGAAGGGGAAAAUAAUGAAAUAUGAAUUAAAUUCCUGAAAUUCUGGUCUCAAAUGCACUUAAUCAUAAUUUUCAAGCUAUGCAGUUCCUUUCCAGUCUUUUAUUAUAGAAGAGGAAAUAGCCUCUCAGUACCUGAUGAAACAGGUGGAUAUUACUAUCCCUUAUUUAUGGAAAAGUUUUAUUCUAAGUGUUGUUUCUCAUUGAGUAUUAAUAAAAGGGAGAGAAUGUCCUAAACUUUUGAGAUAGAUUUGAUUCUAGCUAUAUCUAUGCUAUGAAGAAAAUGUUGGCAAAUAAAUAAGUUUAAACCUCUUCUGUUAAAUUUCUGUGCAAGGUGACAA